rnacentral:rRNA from 1 species
GAUGAACGCUGGCGGCGUGCCUAACACAUGCAAGUCGAACGGAGAUUUAACGCUGAUGAAGCUUCGGCAGAUUCUUGUUAAAUCUUAGUGGCGGACGGGUGAGUAACGCGUGGGCAACCUGCCUCAUACUGGGGGAUAACAGCUGGAAACGACUGUUAAUACCGCAUAAGCGCACAGCAUCGCAUGAUGCAGUGUGAAAAACUCCGGUGGUAUGAGAUGGGCCCGCGUCAGAUUAGCCAGUUGGCAGGGUAACGGCCUACCAAAGCGACGAUCUGUAGCCGGCCUGAGAGGGCGGACGGCCACAUUGGGACUGAGACACGGCCCAAACUCCUACGGGAGGCAGCAGUGGGGGAUAUUGCACAAUGGAGGAAACUCUGAUGCAGCGACGCCGCGUGAGUGAAGAAGUAUUUCGGUAUGUAAAGCUUCUAUCAGCCAGGGAAAGGAAAAGAACUCGUAAGAGAGAUGACGGA